CCUACGGGGGGCUGCAGUCGAGAAUCAUUCACAAUGGAGGAAACCCUGAUGGUGCGACGCCGCGUGGGGGAAUGAAGGUCUUCGGAUUGUAAACCCCUGUUAUGUGGGAGUAAAAUAAAAAGAUAGUACCACAAGAGGAAGAGAAGGCUAACUCGGUGCCAGUAGCCGCGGUAAUACAGAGGCCUCAAGCGUUGUUCGGAAUUAUUGGGCGUAAAGCGUGCGUAGGCUGGUUCGUAAGUCGUGUGUGAAAGGUGCGGGCUCAACCCGCGGACGGCACAUGAUACUGCGAGACUAGAGUUAAGGAGGGGUAGCCGGAAUUCUCGGUGUAGCAGUGAAAUGCUUAGAUAUCG
rnacentral:rRNA from 1 species